rnacentral:lncRNA from 1 species
UUUUUUUUUUUUUUUUUUUUUGUGUAAGGUUAUAGUAGAAUUUUCCUUGAACAAAAAAGGAAUAAGAUGACCGUUGUAGAUAAAAGGAGAUUAGACCUAACGACAUCCAUAGACACUUUAUUUUGAUGAUGAAUACUUAUGAAUUAAGAUUAUAGGGAUAAAUUUCACCACAAAUGGAGAUUAUCAUAGAUAUAUUACCACUCGAAUUGGGUUUUUCUAUUUGUCUCGUUCCUUGAACUAAAUGAAACUUACUAAUAAAAAGCCUAGAGCUCGAAAUGAUCUUUUUGGCAGCGUGUUCAAUCAAAUGGGCUAUUUUUUCCCGACUGCAGAUCCCAUCUUUCUCAUUUUACGUUCCACUUUGACAUCUCCUACGGCUAAAUGCCAAUGGCUUGACUUGGGGUAAAUUGUAUUUGUGGAUUAAUUAAUUCGACUAUAUAUCUAGCUCUUUUCUUUUCACUUUUUCCUUGUAAGACUUGGAAUCUCUCCCAAACUAAACAUAAUCAGUAGUAGGUUUUAAUUUAAACGAAUGAUAAGUAAUCUCAAUUUGAAUUUGCAUUUUUACACAUUUGAUUGACAUAUAUACUCCAUAUAUAGCUUGUGUGUAAACCACUAGCAUAGAAAGGAUUAUUCCUUUCUUUUAGCUGGAGUUUUCAGUAUAUAAUGGUGCUAUACUUUGCACUUACUUGUCUGGCCAGCGGCUCCUUUUUAGUUUUUACUUGAAAGUCCUCAAAACAAAAUCUAGGCCUUAAGAUAGAUUUUUGGGUGCCAUGUUUAUGCUGGCCACUAACUGAUGAAACCUUUUUGUUUUUCGCUUCUUCUCUGAUCACGCCAAAACCUUGCAGAAAGCAGGACCAGUGUGCUCACAGCUGGGGGGUUCAAAUCAUGUUAUUUCUCAUUGCAAGUCAAGGAAACUUUAUCAUUUUUGAGGGUACAACAUUGAUGAAUGAUUUAUGCAUUGACCAUUUUUCUGAUUGGAACAAGUAAAAUGGUUUGGAUCUUUACUCAUUCAAUUCCUGUCCAGCGAACAGUUUCAACUACAGAUUUUUGUCCAAGGUCACUAGAACACAAUGAUUUCGAUAAUUAUACUAAAGAUAAAAAAAGUGUAAAAAAUUUUGGGUGAAUGUUUGUAUAAUAUUGCAUCCUAGUGCGUGUGUCACAUCAAGAAUGAACGACAUUAUUUCUUUAAUUUCAUUUAUUACCCAACAAAAAAAAAAAGUUAGUCUUUGUUUGGAGCAACAACGGGAAAAAAAGUAUUACUGUUUUUAUGAAUAAACUUGCUCCCCUACCCUUUUAACUUACUUACCCAAGUAAGUUAUUGCCAUUGCUUUUCUAGUUCAAGUCGAUGCAUAAGGAGAAGGGGAAUAAGCAUUAAGAUAGAGAAUACAGGCGUUGUGAACAUUAAACACUUUAUCUAAAACAAGAAAGAUAACGUUUCCCUCAUGAUCAGGCUUCUACAUGAAUAUGAUCUUUACCUUUAGGUUAAAGUAACAAGAAAAGUGCAUUAAUUGCAGGGUUUCUAAAAUGGUAAUCUUAGAAGUUAAUUGGCUUGUAAUGGUUACACUAAAAGUAUUUCCAUUUUCAAAUGUAAAAGCCAAACGAACAAAUAAUUAUGAAGUUAUCUACAGUUCAAAAUGCAAUCCAAACGCGAAUUGAAACUUUCAUGCUAUCUUGCAACAACUUUCAGGGUUUUUCUAACAAGUAAUCAGUGGAUACUCGUCAACAUAUUUAAAAUUUAUAUAACUGACAAUGUAUAUACGCAUACAACAAACAAUUACUAUUUAUCCUUGCAUUUAUAUACGUUUCCUCUUUAUUCUUACCUACUCUCCUUUAUAUUUAUUUACUUUUUCUUAAUUAAUCUUAUAUUUUAAAAAAUAUGAUGUUUAAAAUAUAUCUUAACGGGUAACCAUUAGACAGACCCUAAUUCUUAUCAUGAUGCUUUCUUUGUGUUUAACGCUUCUUCAUUACAUUAGUUGCCAUUCCUUGUCAUAUGAAGAACUAUGCAACCACAAUGCAUGUUGUCAUGUAUUAUUACUAAACAUGACAUGACUUUUCAAGAACAAACAGCUUUGUCAUUUUUCCAUAUAAAGAACCAUGUAAGCGACGUUCAUGGACAAGGUGAUGGCUUGUUUUUGGUAAGUGUGAACCACACUACGUCUCUAGCAUUAACAUUUCUGGCAAAUGUGACACUAUUUCUUCAACGUGGGACUUCUUGCCUUGUACGAGUUUCAUAGCAAAUUUUGUUCAUUGCAUGUUCUACAUUAUUCAAUUGUACUGUUUGUGUUAUAAGACAUGCUCGAAAGGGCCUUUUUCGGGGUUGCUAAAAGCAUAAAAACAAGAUAAAGAAAAAUUGGGGUCAUGUGUUUGCAAAAAAAAAAAAAAAGAAAGAAAGAAAAUCUCGUAUAUAUAUAUAUCCAAGUUCCAUUAGUGUUGGUUUUUGGCUAAAUUCUACUUUGGGCCUUUAAAUUAUAGACGCGCUUUCACUUCAUUUUUUAAAUUUUAUUUUUGAACACUUUAUCUUGGAAGAAAAUUUGGGUAAUGUGUUGGGAGAAAAAGAAAAGAAAACCAAGUAUUUAAAUCCACUACUGCAUAGCAUUAUCGCUCCUGUGCAUAUACCAAUAUUUUUUUUUGUUUUGUUUUCAUAAUUUUGUCUCGAGAUGGCAUCGAUUAGUUUCGAACUUAGCCUAAUUCACCUUCUUAACUUAUAAGCCUUGAAUUUAGGACAUUAAAAUUUGAUUUUUUUUUCUACAACAUUAUCAGUAACUCUCGAUCUGUUAUUAAGAUGGAUGGAUGUUCAAUUUGGGACAUUAGCCUCGAGUGAUUUAACAAAAUAAAAUGGAUAUUCAAUUUGUUCAAAGAAAAAAGGACGACCAAAUCACAUCAAUGAUCAGCCUCAAAAGUGAUUUAAUCAAGACAGCUAGUUGAGCAAUUUAAUUAAUUGAUAUUUGGUCAUAUCAAUUAAAUUUUUUGUCAGUUGGAGAUAUUAAUACAAAACUACUACAAUUCAGUGCCUGGAUUUUGUAGUCGGGGGCCCGGAAGGAACUUGCGUAUUAGAACAAAUUGUGUGGCAGCCAUCCCACCGUUCAAAGUAUUGAGUUUUGACAACUUGAACACUGACCUUUUUAUUGGCAACACUUUAACCUCUAAUAAGUUUCCUAAUCCAUACUGAAAUUAAUUUUAUACUUAAAUGCAAUAGAGUAUCUAACUAUAUCACUCAACCCUACAUUAUUAUAAUUCCAUUUGACAACAACAUUAAUGUUUAAGUUGGUAAUUUCAUUCAUUUCAAGAAUCAAUAUUUAAUGGUCAAGUUGGCCAGAAUGAAAAAUAACAAUUUAGGGUGUUAGAUAUCAAUAUCUCAAUAGUUCAAGAAUACGAAUUGGUGUUAAACCUCAUCUGCAGCAAAUAAAAUCUAAGAAUCACAUCACUCUCUUGAUCUAGUUGAAUCUGUAUGUCCAUUAGCCCCUAACACAAGUCUCCUUAGACUCCCUCUCCCCCUAGAUUAGGAUAUACUGGCAAAAAAAAAGAAAAAAAGAAUGUUGCAAGAUGGUCUAGAAUAUACACAUAUAAUUAAUAUGCUUCAAACAAUGCUUCAAUAUGAACACCAGCUAUAGCCUUGGUGGUCAAGUCCUACUCAAUGACCAAUUCCUGUACUGUUGUUGCCCAAACAUUAAGUGAAUGUGGUCAUGUUACUAUGAUUCACUUUCUCCACUCAAUUGUUUGCCCCUUAACUUGAUUAAUUAGGUACUUUCAGCUGUCAAGCUUGGAGUAAAGUUUUAAUUUUGUAAGGAUAAUAAAUAUACAGCUCCAGACCUUAGAAGUUCUAGAUUCUAAUAUUUCUUCUUCUUCCGCAUUUCUUGAAUUCUAUCCUUUUUCUACUAGAAUUUUCUUUUUUUUAAAAAAUAAGUACAAUAUGCAUGGAUCAGUUGACUGACCUUGAAAUUUUGUACUUCAAACAUUGGUAGAAGAAGAAAAACAUAAUGGUUUGAUAAAAGACAUAAGCAGUUGACAGGAUGCAUUGGAUAGUUUGUAGUGGAUUAACUAGAGAUCAUGUGGAAAUACAAUUGAAAAAAUGGUAAUGAGUAGGAACCUUACUAAAUAACAGGAACCUGGGGAAUGGUUCUUCUGGUCCACCCUCCUCUAUGAAAAACCAGGUAGGAUCAGAACCCACAGAAAAAAAAAAAAAAAAAAAGAAGCAACAAGCAAAAAAUAACCCUGUUUCGCUGUAUCUCAAGCAAAAUCUAAUGACAGCAUUUCAAUUUUGUACGUUUGUUAUAGACUAUUGACUUUACUAUAAAAUUUAUAUACGGAAAGUACAUUCUUUGAAUAUCAUACAUAAGUCGACUUAGCCAAAUUGCAGGCACUUGCAUUUUUUUUUAUAAAAAAAUUUUAUUACUAAAAUUGUUGAAAAUCGUCCAGCAACAAAUGAUGGAUAAAAGUUGGGAAAGAAUUUUCAAAGGAUUCAAUACAGUCAGAUGAUGACACGAAAGUAACAUUACACAUACAUCGACUUUGGAUUGUUUGGAUACUUAAUUUUUUAUUUACGUGAUAAAUACAUUUUGUAAUUAUUAUUUUACUUUUCUAAUCACAUUUGUAUCUCAUAUAUAUAUAUAUAUAUAUAUAUAUAUAUAUAUAUAUAUAUAUAUAUAUAUAUAUAUAUCACACUUCAGAAAGUACUACAUUAUUAUUUCAAAAUAAUUUUCAAUCCAAAUAGAGCAGAUGGAGCCUAUUUCAUUAUCUAUUUUAACACAAAUUAAUGUUAAGACAUGAAUCUUAUUAAAGCACGCUGGUAAUUAAGACAUCCUAAUUUGCAAUUUAGAAAUGCAAAAGGAGCCAUAAUUUACUGCCUUUUUUGUCUUUGUCUUUAUCUACAAUAAAAUACCAAAAACGAAAAUAAAAUCUCCUUCUCAUAUGAUCAAUGCAUGUAAAGUCACGUGUAAACAUGGCACGUGUUCGCUGUCAAAUCUCCACAAUUGCAUAGCAGCUGCAAAUAUAUAGUGUCAUGUCUAAGCAUUUUCUUUGCAGUUUGCCUCCUGAUGCUUCACUUCCAUUGGACAAUGGCCAUGUAUUAUGGGACAAUUUAUGUUGAUUUAAAAAGUAGCUUACAUUUGUGUCCUUUCCUCCCAAGGUCAAGGUCUUGAAAAUACAUUUGCCUUUACCAAACAAUAGCACUUAAUUAUAUUUGUAAAAAAUCAACACUAAUAAUAAUGCUAUUGAUUUGUUUGGGCAAUUGACAUUCCUCUCAUAAUCCCAUUUUGAUGGAAAUCUUUGAGGUGAUAGACUAUCCUCUUUUGACACUCCAAAUUGACUAUGCUUUUUUUUUUUUUUUUUGGUCAACUAGCAACAUUGAUCACUUUUAGUAUUUUUUGAACCAAUAAUAGGUUUCAAGAAAAAGAGAGUAUUAUCCAAAAUUUUUGUAACACAAAAAGACAGAGUUAUAAAAUGCAAAAUGAGAAAAUUGUAGAGUAUAGACACUGUAAUGUUGGGAAAAAAAAUUCAGUAAGUGUUCAAGAAACAGAAUAAAAGCGUGAAUACCAUUAUCUUACUUAAAAUACAGCUAGAUUAAGAUUAAUCUUUUCGAUAGUGAGGAGUCUAAAUACAAGUCACAUCAUUUUAACUUGAAUUAAAACACAAAACUUUGCAUAUAUGACAUAUAUCUAUAUUCGAUAGUAUAUACAUUGACAGCGCAUGAAAGAUUUGUAUAUUUAAUUAACGAUACUAUGCAAAACAAUGAAGUGUCAUACAACACAUUGAAUUUAGGUCAGAAAAAUAAAUACUAUGGGUAUGAGGCAUUAAUUGUGCAAAGCUGUGAACAAGUGGAGCUAGCCAUCUCUUUCACGGUUCCCUCUCUCUUAGGGCUUAAGCAUCUCCAUAUCUCUUCUCUAAUCCCUAAACAUUCCAAGCAUUAAUUCUCGCCCCCCUCGUCCGCUACUCAGAUGGUCAAGUAAAAUGGAUACCUCCCACCCACUCAUUCCCUCAAUCAUAACACUCCCUUCCCCACACACUACACACAUUCACUCACUCACUUCAAUUUCCACAUUCCACCUUUCUCCACAAACCCUUUUUCAUUUUCUUUCUUUCUUUUCUUUUCUUCUUUUUUAUACCUUAUAUGUAUAUAUAUACACUACUUUUGGUUUUUUCUUUUUUCUUUUUUUUUUAAAAUUUAAAUUAUACAUCAUGACUUCCUCCAAAAUCCACAUUGCACCUUUCUCUACAUAUACACUCACUUCCCCACAUUCCACCUUUCUCCAAAACCCUUUGAAAUCUUCCUGCCCCCUUUUUUUUUUUUAUUUAAUGUCUAUAUAUACGCUAUUUUUUUUGUCUUUUUUUUUGGUUUAACAAAUUCACUCACCUAAAAUCCACAUUCCACCUUUCUCCAAAAAACCCUUUAAUUUUUUUUCCUUUUUUUUUUCAUGUCUUAGAUAUAUACACUACUUUUUCUAUUGGUUUCUGGGUUUUUUUUGUUCUUGACACAAACAACAAAAAAGUCUUAAUGCCACUUCUUACAUCCGUACUCCCACUUCACUCCCUCCCUUUGCCCCAUUACCCACCAGAUCAGUCCCAUCCUCAUCUUUGAGUUUUGUACACUUAUUUGUUUUGCACUUACAUACCCCAUAUUUAUCUCACCCCCUCAUUUCUAUCUUUCCCUCUCCUCCUUUUCUUCUUUCCCACUGAAUUGGCUUUUCCUAACUCCUUCUCCUCCUCCUUCUUCUGUUUGUCUUUGUGCUAAAAAUUUCUGAUGCACACAAUUCCUUCCUGAUCUGCAUAUAGCUACAUAUAUAGCUUGCUACCAAAUACAGCCUGCUGCUUCAUCUUCUUUUGUGAAAAAGAGGGUUUUCUUUGUCGGCGAUCCGCGAAUCUCGGCCAAAAUGUCAAUGGAUAUCACAUCUGAACGAGUUUGCUAUGUGCACUGCAAUUUCUGCAACACUAUUCUAGCGGUAUAAUAUGUAUACUGUUUUUUAUUUCUUUCUGUAUUUCUCUAGCUUUGCAUAUGCUAGCUCAAUAGUCAAGGCUGCCAUGUUACAAGAAUUAACCGUGGCCUAAUUCACAAUCUUAGAUUAAACUUCUUCUAGUGCUUGUAGUUUGAAUCAAUCCACGUAACCGUCUCUGAUCAUUGCCGGUCCUUGAGCUUUUACGGGUGAUGGUAAGUAGAAAUCAAGAAACAUGUAGCAAGAGAACACAUUUACUCAAAAAAAGUUUUCAAAACUAUAUUGCACAAAUUUAAGAACGCAAACAAGCUAAAUGGAUUCCAUUACCAGAAACGCAAAUGACGGAGUCAGUUGAAUUCAUUUUGCCAACUUUUUUUCCCGGCAAAGUGAUAUUUUAUGGCAUCUCAUGAUUUGGUUUUUCCUCAAAAAGCUUAUAUAUUUCAUACUCACAAGGAGGUUUUGUGUAUUCAGUUCAGUUUGCAGCUUCAAAACAUGAAGCUGUUGCUGGAAAAAAGAAGCAGCUUUCAUUCGAGUUUUAACUCUUUCAAGUUCAGAAAUUUAAUGAUCUAUUACAUAAGUAGCAAGUCCUAUGUCUUUAACCAAAAGGAAUCUAAUUUUCCCUCAAAUGUAUUUGACAUAAGGGCUAGCUGCAGAUAAGUUUUUAGGGUUCUUCUUUCUUGGCGUCAUAAGUUCUACCUACAUCAAUCGAUCUUUCCUUCCUACCUUUCAACAGUAUGCCAACUUCAUGUCUUUGCCUGUGUAUUAAAUUUGAUGCCACUGUUACCUUGCCAUCGAUCAUUUAGUUCUCCAAUUUAUUACUCACCUUGUCUUCUAAGCAUUUUCAUGUUCAUACUUCUGCAGUCACCACUCAUUGAUAAUUGUACUAGAUCACUAAUUUCUGGAUUUCUUUCUUAUUUUUUUAAAAAAAGCCAAGAAACAAGGAUGAUUUUCAGAUAAACAAAGAAAUAAUGGUAUCUUACCUUCUUCACUUCCUAUGUGAGUGUUGUUUUCUUUGAGGUGGUGGGGGAGAUGGAUGGAUGGCUUCUUCUGUGCCCACUGAAGCAUAAAUGAUCAUUUGUUGCAGAUCAUUACCUAGUUGUGGGCUAUUUUCUUUACUGUGGAAGAUCUUCAUUACUGUUGGCUAGCUUUCUUUAGCCAAGAAUAUGAGAAGAGAGCUGCCAAAAGAAAAUCAUGGCUGCAAUUUACAACUGCUUUUUUUCCUUCCUUUUUGAACUGCCAUUUCAUCAUAAGAUAUCUCUUUUGUUGAAGCCCUUUAGGAGCAUAUAUAUGUGGUCUUAUAUAUGGUGAGCAAGACCACAAAACGAUGAAUCAAAGGCAGAUAUUUCAAGAAAUUGGAAUCAAUUGAAGUUAUUAUUAGCCCACUUCACAAAUUGAGAAACAGUCAAACAGCCAAGAAAAAAAAACACUUGAUCUGAUAUCUCUCUUUUUCAUUGCAAGUCAUGUCAUUUUCGUUGCUGGCCUCUCUCUUUCUCUGUCAGCAAGUGUCAGAAAAAGUCAGGAGCACCGAAAGAAAAGGGGAACGGGAGGAAUGGACAUUGUGAAGCUCUUUAAACAUAAGCAGCGUACUUAUUACAAUGUGACUGUAAUGAGAGUCAUGAGAGGCCUCUUCUUGAAUGUCUGAUUAUCAUCCGUGAUCAUCAUAAAUGAUCAGUACUGAUCAAUGAUAACAGCUAGCUUCAAGCCAAGAAGUAGCCACUCCACCUCGUUUUUCACAUUCUGAAAGCAACACCAUCGAAUUUUACCCAUCUCCAUUCUCCUCCAUAAAGCAGCAAAUGAAGAAAGAAAUAUCAGAGCAGAAGCUAAACCAUGCUGCCGAAAGAGAGAGAGAGGGGGGAAAAAAAAAAGAAGACUAAAAAUAUUUAUCUUCUUCUUCUUCUUCCUCUACUUUUAUCCUUCAAGAAAGAUCUAAUCAAAUUUUCCUUAUCUCUCUCUUCUUUAUUUUUUACUAUUUCUUCCCUUCUUGUACAUUAAUCAGCAUGAAUUUUGAGAAAUGAAACCAAAAGGGCCAAACCCUUUUGGGAAAACAUGAAUCUUAAGAGAAAAACAGAAGAAAUUCGGAGGUUUUUUCACGAAAAAAAAAGAAUAGAAAUGGUUACAUUGUUUUAGGGGUCUAACUUAAUUUUCUCUACAAACUGCUAUGUGUGUUGGUAGGUUAGUGUUCCAUGCAGCAGUAUGUUCGCCAUUGUUACAGUGAGAUGCGGGCAUUGUGCAAAUUUGCUGUCGGUUAAUGUGGGAGCGUUGCCUCAGACUCUUCCCACCCAAGACCUCCAGGUAUUUUUUAGCUGAUUAUCUAGUACUAGUAUAGAAUUCAGGCUCUAGUUUGUCUCCUAGCAAGUUCAACGAGACUGUGGUAUUUUUAACAAACCUAAGAGUAUGUUGCAUUGCUUGAUAUACAGUACUAUUAUAUUACUAAUAGAGGAGAAUGCAUAAGAUUCAGUGUCUAAGGUACCUUAAACUUGCAAUAUAUAAUGAUUCCUUUGACUUGAUUCUCAUGUUCAAGAUUCUUCCCACAUGUUGUAAUUCCUUUUGCUAAUCUGCCCAAACAGAAGUUCACUAUUAAGUGAUGCUGGUUUUAUUACCCCCAAAAAAAACAUGACGCUGGUUUUAUCACUUCAGUCAAGUUUUCUGCAUCUUGCUCAGAGAUGUCUUAUUUCAUUUGGGCUGUGUCGAGGGGUAUUUGUUCUUGAAAUGUGGGUAAUGAGCUUCCUUUUUUUUCCCUCUCUUUUUAACUUUCUUUUCCAAAUUCGAAUAUUCCAACUUUUUUCUUAUUAUAUGUUUCCUGCUUUGAAUUCUUGUUUUUUUUAUUUUAGGCCAAGUUAAAAAUGUUCAAGAAAAAGUUUGGACCAAUUUUAUGGGGUCAUAUUUUACUACAUUUUAGGUUCAGGCAGCUUGUAUUAUAUGGCAUUUGUGUUGAGUAAAAACAAAACUAAUGCCAAUGUCUUGUUUUGGUUGAAAGAAGUUGCAGAAACAACAGAUCAACAAUGAAGAUGCUACUAAAGAAAGUGGCUCUUCUUCUAAAUGCAACAAGUUUACUCCAUUCGACUCUGCUGAGCAUGAUCAGCCAAGAAUCACUCCCAUUCGUCGUAAGCUUUCUCUCUCCCUUCUCAACCCACAAAACAUCUGAGCACUUUACCACUUAAAACCAAAAAAUACAAAAGAAACCAAAGAAAAAUUUUGCACCAACUGAAAUAUCUGUUAAAAAAGAGUCCAUAUUAAUAUUCAUUCUUACUCCUGGCAGUGCACAUCAAAUUUUCAUCUUGUGUCAUAGUUUCAAAAAUGGAUACUAGCUAGGUGAAAGUUGAAUAAGUACUAUUUUGGCAUUAAAGAAAUUUACUUCAAAAAAAAAAAAAUCCUACAAUUACAAAUCUCAUUGUGAAUGCCACUUGUCAUUUGUCAUCAAGUGAAUUUAGAUGAAUGAAUAUAGGAUAGGGCUGAAAAGGUCACCUGAAUUUCUGCUUCACUAAUGAACUGCUACGAUUGUGACAUAUCACUUCAAUCCAACUCACUAGUGAGAUUGGCAUCUUUCAGAAUUUGCCAUAAGCACUUUUUAUAUCAGACUUACCUCUUUAUUUCUCUGAGCAUUCAGUCACCAGGCAGUGAUUUUAAUGCCAGCUUUGUCACAUAGGGAUGGUACUCUUGUGCCACCAGAAUUUUUUGGGGUUCUAACCGGAGAAUGUGAUCGAAUUUAUUUUGGAUUUAGAUGACAUAUAUAAUACGGACAUGGGCAUUACCAAGCAAGAAAUACAUAAAUAUUCACACUAUCAAAUGUAUACCUUGUCCUUUGUGCAAGAAAAUUCUACUUUGUCCAUAUAACCACUUUUUAGGGUUAAUGACACAGUAAACCAGACCCAAUGACAAAUGUUCCAUUUUGUUUUUCACCUCAAAUGAUGUUUUGAAUUCAUGUAAGGGAAAUGGUGAAUUCUGAAUUUCAAAAAACUCACACAAAGUUAUUUGCAUUUAAUAGUAGAACUCAAGAGUUACCUGCAUGAUCAUCAAUAUUAAUUCACUCUCUCCUGUUGUCUGUUAUGUGUUGACAUACUGGGCAUUGACCAUAUAUAUAGGACGCUUUUCAUCCUUUGUACCCAUGGACACUAGUGUGUUUCAAGAGACUUGAACAGCUUUAUAAUGAGGAAAUUGCUUCACUCCACCUUGGAGGAAUCACAUCUUGAAAAUCGUUACAAAUUGAUCCCUUUAAUAUUGGAGUGUUGUCCUAUCAUUUUCACGUUUAUGCUCUUAACCAUAACUUUUAAUCUACUUUUCCACCAGUUGAUCAUUAAUUAGUACAAAACAAAGGAAAUCAGGCACAUGUUCUUAGUUAUUUUCAGUGUAAGAACAAUAUUCAGGAUGCAAAUUUAUAUGCACUAGUAGACCAAUUCAUUUAUUUGAACAUUUCGUUCUAGUCAAAUUAGUCUAACUGCGACUGUUUCUCCCAUGCAUUAUGCAGCCCCAGAGAAAAGACAAAGGGUUCCUUCUGCAUAUAACAGAUUUAUCAAGUAAGUUUGAUGCAAAUUUAUUAGAAACAUCUUGUAUUAAUUCAAGAAUUUCAGCAAGAAUUAAAAAGUUCAUUAGCUAAGAAAAUAUAUGGUCUUAUGAUGAGAAUCAUUGUUAUUAAUAGUUGUUCAAGUGCAAGAAAUUUGAAACAGGAGAUAAGAAAAAGAAAAGAAAAACAGACUUGAUUUCCUCCAUUUUUUUUUAACAGGGAAGAGAUACAAAGGAUAAAGGCCAGCAAUCCUGAAAUUAGCCACCGGGAAGCUUUUAGCACUGCAGCAAAAAAUGUAAGUAUUACCAAGAUAUUAUUGACUAUAUAAUGAGAGUCUGGUCAGAAACUAACUGAUGUGUGCCACUGCUAUGAGUGGGCUGCAAUUAAGUGUUGUUUUAGCAUUAAAAUUACGAGGAAAAUCAUGUCUCGAAAGAGGGUGAUCAUCUUCUUAGUAAAUUACAAUGUGCAAGAAAUUAGUAAAUUUUUAACAAAAUGUUGCAUUGCAUUGGGUCGAAUUAUAUAAGAUCUUGCUGCCUCUUACGAAGUUGUUUGGCUACUACUAGGUACUUUUAUUAAUAUUUUGACUUGGCACAAGAACACUUGUAGUGAGUGUCAAAAUAGUAGUAGUUGUAGAAUUGUUUGAAUGUGAUGUGCUUAUGAUAACUCCAACUGCAUCACAAGAUUUUAUUUAUUUUCAUUUGGAGUUUAAUUAAUUGAUAUUGGUCAUAAUUCUAUAACAUCAUUAGGGUCAGCCUAAUGAUUAGGGCAUAGAUGAAACCAGAAAAUUUCCUUUGAGGGGGGCAAACUCUACUUCAACUAACACUUAGGUAUACAACUUGAAAUAUUUCUAAUGUUUUGCUUCGCCAUCGCGUAGUUCCGCCCAUGGUUAGGGUAGGGUAAUUAGAGUCUUCUGGGGAAAAUUUACAUAAUUAACAUACAUAUGAGAGACAAAAAAUUUGUAGCUAUAUGAAGAGAAGAAGUCUACAUUUGGCACAAGUAAAAGAGACUUGCACUACCUAAAAACGAAGAAAAAAGAGUGACUACUUGCACCAACAAAUAACAUUGUAUCGAACGAUAUCCAUGAAAUCUACUGCUAGAUGGUAUUAUUAUGACAAAAGCUUAGCAUUUCAGGAUAAGAAGCUAUUUUAUAGACCUUUUAUAUACAACAAACAGAUAAGAAAUGGUCUAUCUUAGGAAGGAAAUUGAGCUCCAAUGAUCACUUUUAUUUGUAGACCAUUCCAAUUAUAUAAACAAGGAGCAAAAUUUUGGUUUAGAUGUAAUAAUACAUAGAUUAUAGGUGUCAGAAAUAGUCAACUUUUAUUAACCGGAUUUGGUUAUGCUUCUAUCAUACUUGGUGCAAAGAAUUAACUAUCUAGAUCAUUAUGUUUUCUUGUCCACACUAAAUUACAUUUCUUUGGUAGAAGAUGGAAUAUUUUGUCCCUAGUAUAAACAUUUAACAAAACGUAAAAUGCUCAAGUUUUCAUUAGUAAGUGAAAUUUUAGUAUACCAAUGGUUGGUCAAUAAGUAUCAUGCCACGUAAAGAGUUUUUCUUUUAUAAAUCCUGUGGUAUUCCAACACUGGACUAUAAUAAUUUUGGGAGACUUAAUACUUUAUUACAAAGCAAAAAUUUAAUCUCAUUGAUUAAGUUACAAAAACUUUACUAAAAAACACUUAUAUAUACAUGUGUUUACCCAGAACAAUACUGUUAAGGUUAGAUAUUUAUAAAGGUAGCCAUAUCUAUUGUUUGAUAACAUAAUGAAACAUGCAUUUGUUGUUUCAGAAGCACAAACAACCAUUUCCUUUUUCAAGACAAUUUUUUUGGAUAAAAUUGCAAAAAAAAAAAAAAAAUGAAUCAAUGAUUCCUGUUACUGCCCCCAUAUUGUACCAAUGCAUAUCACCAGAUGAGGGAAAAGUUUUUAAAAAAUUACUCUAAAUUGUUCUUGUUCAAUUACUUAUGAUAUUACUAGAUGUUGCAACAGAAUUCUAAAUGUCUUUUGUCAAAAAAAAAAAUUUUUUUUUUUUUUGAGUAAGAGAAGCUGUUGGCAAAUUUUUUUUCAACAGAAGUGCCUAAAUACCUUAAUUUUCUUCUUUUGGCCCCUUAAUUUUUUUUUCUUUUCUCUUCAAAAGCUUCAUAGUUUUGAUAAAACAUGGGCAAGAACAACAUUUCAGCUGUCUAAAACAAAACACUAUACUCUUCGAAGUUUGAAUACAGACUUUGGUUGCACAGUUUUGAUCUACACAUUAAGUUCUCUAGUCUAUUUGCACAUUAUCCAAGUAUGUGGUAAACAUUAAAUUGAAAGUAGUGAUAUUCUGUUCAAUUGUAGCACUGGCUCUCUGGUGGGGAUUUUAAACUAUUGUAAUAAUUUAAAAAAAAACUAAGAUGAAGUACUAAAUAAGUUGACAAGAGAUCGAUGCAAUUCAGUAAUGAUGAAGUAGCACUAAUAAUUCCUAUGAUGGAUGCACAGAAUUAGAUGUCAAUAUAAAUGUAGGUUAUAAAUUCCUUAGCAUAUUUGGAGUUGACAUGGCAAUAAAACUCUAUAGUUUGCAUAUUUGAAACCAUUAUUUGUAUUAAAAUUUCAUCAUGUCAGAUGGCUAGAACAUGUAUACAGAAUCAUCUGGCUUGUUGUGAUUAGGUCCAGCAAUUUAAGAACACAAUAUCUUUAGCUUCAAAUUUAAUUAACUAAUGAUGCUGGUUUGAUGUUUAAUUAGUCAUCUUUCGUGUGGAAAGUGUGUCUCUAAUUACUGUCUAGGAGUAUGAGAGACUAGGAUUAUCUUACCCAUUCACAGAAAAACUUGAAUUUUCAACAAACUAAUUAAACCUAAUUACUGAAACCAAGACCAAGGUCUAGUUCCCCUCACUUGUGCACCACCUUAAAUUUUCUUUAAAACAUUUAACAUUUCUUACAUCUAUAGAACCAUCUUAUGUUAAAUAUACUGUCUCCAUCCUAUUUUAUACGUCUUGGUUUCUAUUUUGGUUUGUUCUAAAAUAUUUGUCCCGGUUUAAAAUAGAAAUAAAUGAAAUUCAACUUUUCGCUUAAUAAAUAGAAAUAAAUAUUUAAGUCAUUUCUCUUAAUAAAUCAUGCUGCAAAGUAUAUAUCUUUGUUCUUAGAUAGUUGUGCUUUUUAAAAAAAAAAAAAUUCCAAACUCAACUAACAAAAUUUUAAAGUUUAAGUGAAGGCAAUAAUGGAAUGACAUUCUUUGAUAGCUGAUGUGCCUUGAUCAAAUCUUUUUUUCUCUUUUAAAACUGUGUAUAAAGUUGACUAUGAUAUAUAAAAUGGGAUGAGGGAGCAAUAAUAAUAAGUGCAUGCAUGUUUAUAUUCUCAAGUACACUCUCAUCAAUCUUGCUUGUAUCUCAUCUACUAAUUGAUAUCACCUCUUUUAUUGCAUGAGUAGAUGUAAAAACCACAUAGGUUUCCCUAUCUUCCGUGGUUAUUAUGUUUAUAAACAUUGAAUUCAAGGUCAAAAGGUACAGAAAUUUGAGAUGGCCAACUUCAAGACAUCUUGAAUUACUUGCAACUUUUUUAUUUUUUUGGCCAUUAAACUCUUGUGCUGACUUUCAAAAGAAGCCUAGGUUCUUCUUCCCUGUUCUAAAUGAAAAAAACAUGAUAACAAAUCAACCAAAGCAAGCUGUUGGAUGACAGAUUUCUUUCUCUGCCCAUGAAAAAAGGGCAUUCAUGGUAGGGACUCUGAUGAAGAAAAAUGAUAUUUUCCGUAUUGCAGUGGGCACAUUUUCCUCAUAUCCACUUUGGACUCAAGGUUGAUGGCAACAAACAAGCCAAUAAGUUGGACCAUCCAGAUGCAGGAGAUCAAGGGGCUCAAAAAUCUCGUGGGUUCUACUAAGCUUCAUAUUAUAUCAUCCUACAAAGGAGAAAACAGACGAUCGAGGAUGCUAAGUGAUCAGUGUUGUUGUUUUUUUUUUGGCUUCCUUUUUUCCCCUCACGUUACUCUAUACUGAGUAUUGUGAAAAAUUCUUCCGACAAAUGGGAAGAACUUCACACAUACCUUAGUAUCCUUGUACUAUCUUUUCAAGUAUGAUCCUACGUAAGAAGGGAAGUGAAUUUCAUAUGUAGCUAAACAAGCGACUUAUAUAUGUAGUCUAUAUAUGUUUGAGAUCUUAUAUAUGCAUAUAUUCAAUGUAAUUACUUAUAUAUUUUCUGUAAUAAAUGAAGUUGCCUUCACUGCCAAAUUGAACUCCAUUACAAUGUGAUAUGAUCCAUAUUGCCCCUCUUGAUUAGUUUAGCAGCAUAUUAGGGCUCAAUGUCAUAUCAUAAUCAUGUAUUAUCCAAGAUUGAUUUAUUGCUGGAAAAUUUUCCGAUUGUGAACAUUGACAUCAUAUGAGUCUGCGUAGCUGAUUCAUGUUAUGAUGCCAUACAACUUAUUAUACAUUUGAUCAAAAAUAUCACAGCCAAUUAAAUUCACAAUUAACUGUACUAAGAGCAACUACUAGCUUUAGUCACAAGCAAACAUUUUUGUACAAAGCAUUUUUUUUUGGGAGCAAUUUUGUAUAUUGUUGUUAGCAAUAAAAUCAGUCCUAAAAUGCAUAUUGACCCAAAUUUUUUGCUCUUGAGAAAUUAUAUCUUAAACUUUUUAUAUUGGUUUCCUGAAUAGUGAAUAUGGAUAUCUUAUCUAAGGUACUACAAAGUGCCCUACCCUUUCCAUCGGUUAUUCUCAGAUACAGGAAUAGUUUAUAAAUUAGAAUUUCAAAUCAAUCAUAGUACUUGAGAUGUUCUAUAUACAAAGGCAAAAUAGAAAGAAUAUCAAGAUUUAUACCUUAAAAGGAACAUAAGCUUAAUCCUCUCACAUGAGUAAGGUUCACUUAUGGACUAUUGAUUGCCUAAAAAUAAUUCGUUGCCUUUUGUCUCUGAUCAUGAGUUGUUUAGAGAAAUUGCCUUAACCCACUAAUUUUAUGUUUUCCAUCUUAAUUAGCUAAAAUAAAUCACUCUUUUCUGUCAGUACGUACCAUGUCAUUUUUAUAAAGGUGACUAGCUAACACUUUGGUAACCGCACUUGGGACAGGUUUGGUUAUGGUUCAGUGUAUUGCCCUGGAUGUUAACUAAUUCUUACAAAAUUUAGUAUGAGUUUACAUACAUACUGUACUUUUUAUAUGACAUGGUAUACACAUUUCAAGCGUAUAACGAAGUACUAUUCAUGUCAAGGAUUAUUGUAUUUUUACGUAAUAUGAUAUGUGCGAAUUUUAUUAAUAUAUUGACAGUAUAUACACUAUCGUAUUUGAAUGCACACACAUAUCGGAUUUCAAAUUUAAAUUAAAUUUAGUCAUCAUACAUCCAAAUUUGAUUGUAUAUAAUCCAAAUUUGAUUGUAUAUAUAUAUACUUUCAGUGUGUACAAAUUAAUCUUAAUAUAUAUCAAUGCAAUCAUUAGAACACGACUGCACAAUCUCAUAGAAGAAACUAGGGUAAAUUCCAACCUGGUACAUCACCCCUCUUACCCUUUUCUUUACUUAAUACUAAACUUUGAUUUUUUUUUUUGGGUAGGUUGCCACGAUAACAUUACUAACUUGUUUCAUUAUAGCCAGAAAUAGAUGAAUAAAUUGAAACAUCCAUAAGAGAGGUCCCUCCAGAUUUCUGUCCCAAGACGAGGUAGGUUGUCACUUGUCACCGUACCCUAUUUUAAAGGGUUUUGGUUUUGCCUUAUUUAUCAUGCUUCCUAAUCAAAACCAAGAAAAAAAAAACUGGUGGGCCGAUCUUGGAUGGGGUUAUUUGCACCAGUAUCACAUACUAUAGUAUCUGCAUGUGACGUUUGAUGCUUUGAUAGAUACAGUUCAAGGGUUCAUCUGUCGCAUUCACUGAUCAGACCACAUUAAUAUCAGAUCGAGAAACUCAGACCUAACACCAAAAUUUCAUGCCACAACAUUGAAUUCAAAGUCUUACAAACCUUUAAGGCAAAAAAAAAAAAAAAAGAAUUGUUUUUUGAGCAGAAAAAGUUGAGAAAAUGUAAGACUGAGACCCAUUUGUCCUUUGAAGUUGCAGAAAACGAUGAUUUCUGUGCACAUGAGUUGGUGUAGAUCGUGGCACAGAUAUACGAACAUUCUCUAAAUUAUUUACUGCAUGCUGCGAAAUGUACAUGGCCUUGUUUGGAUCUGGAUAUCGAAACAGUAAAAAAUAUAUCCAUCAGACACCGGAGAUGGCAACCUCUAGGAGAAAACGGAUGAUGCAUUAAGUUUAGGAUUUGGCUACGGUAUGUCUAGUGGUUCUAGUUGUUAUUAUUAUUAUUUUUUGUCUAACAUGAAAUUAAAUUAGAUAAAUGUCUAAAUUAAUAUAAAGGCGCAAACGAGCGUGUACAUUAGGUGUAAAUUAAGUACACUGAAAAGUGUCCCCGCCUUAAAUUGGGGUGGGGAGGGGAGGGGGGCCAAGGAAAAGAUGAAAGUGUUCGCUAAAUAAUUAUGAAAGUUUAUGACUUAAAAUUAGACAUGAAAGUGGCAAUUUUAUAUUGUCUCCGAACUUCACUCGGAAAAUUUUAUGCCAUAACCGUAUUUCUUUUUUUUUUAUUUAUUUAUUAGGCGCUUAAGAAGUUGCUUGAAUAUUGUAUUUGGAACUCUUGGAACUUGGUUUAAGAAUCCAUAAUCUUGGUUUAUAAGAGAUAUUGGGUGUCAUAAAUUCACAUGUUUCGACUACGCAAUUAUAAUGAAUAUAAUUAAGUAACACACAGCGUAAAAAAAUAGGUCAAGUGGGUUGAAACUUUGGCUUGACACAAAUAGAGCAUCAAAUACCUUUUGAUUUUUCUUAAUCAAACCAAUUAAAAUCAAAAAGAAAAAGAAGAAACCAUUACCUGGUACAAUAUUGUCACUAGGGAAAUAGAACAUGCGGUUUGAUACUUCCUUCGAAUAACAUAAAUCGGACGAUAAUAUAUUUGUUUUACUGUUUCAUAUUAACGUCAGAUCUCAAAUUUUUGUGUUACAGUAACUUUUGAAGAAAUGGUAAAAUUUUUCCCUUCUCAAGUUCGUAUUGCAUCUGGACUUGAAAUGCAUAAUCUUGCCAUUAUCAAAAGAAUUGCUCUUGAAAGUUGAGUUGUAAUAAUAUCAUUUGUCAUUUCUGAUCCAUCACAUAAUAACCACUUAUACAUAAAAGAGCAUGUAUCAGAUAUUGAAAAAUUGGUUCAUAAGAGAAUCAAUCUAGAAAAUUAAAAUAGUACAACCUAAUUAGUACGUAGACAUGGAUGUGUAGAAAAUCAGAAAUUUUUAGGUUUAAUUUUCUUUUUCUCCCUCUCACCCUACCCUUGCUUAGAAAAAAAAAAAAAAUAUAGACGUGACUUUACUUUUAAACACGGAAAGCGUGUUAUUAGAGUGGUCUUUGUACAACUGCGAGAGUAACGGUAGAAAAUAAUUAAUGGCGAAGUCAAAUUAACACGAUGUGACGUGUGUAUGAAUCGUCAAUUUUCAAAUAACAUUUUUAAAAAAUUUAAUUAAAUGAACAAUCCGAAUUAAGAUGAUUUGAUCUAAACUGCAAACCUGAUCCUGGAAUUGCCAUUGGCAACUGCAAAAUCCCUCAACCAUGGCCUAGGAUUACUUUCUCAUUGAAUAUUUAAAGAAUUGCCUGUCCUUUUGUUUGUUGGGAUGGGGCUGAGGUUGUAGAAUCUGUAAUGUCAAAUCAUGUUGUUGGGGUUUUGUGAUAUAGUGAAGUAUGAGUUAGUGUAAAAGGUGCUGCUGCUAAUACUUGCUUCACUUUACCUUUAAAAUGUCUGGCUUAGUUGUCAUAUCACAUGCAAGGCAAAUCUGGCUGCACAAAGUUAGAUGCCACCCACACAGCAAAGCACUUCAGAUGAAAGGGAAAUUGUAGGCCAGGGCUGCCAACUUCAACCUGUAGAUAUCCUUUAGAUUUCCAAGCUACUUUUUCUUUCUCAACUGGAAUUUGGAAUAGAUUUUUCAUGGCUUAGAAAGGAUCAUGAUAUGGCAUAUCUUUUGUUUUCUCUUUUUCUCAUCUUACCAGUUACCACCCCCCCCCCCUUUUUUGUUAAAUUUUUGGUUUCGUGUUUCUUAUCUUUUUACACUGAUGAAACUUGUGUGUAUAAGGAAAAAUCGAGUAAAUGUUUAUGUCUUUUUUAGGGUAAAAGACAAAGCAUUUUGCACUUCAAAAUUCAAACUAUUUCGUUUAGAUAAUAAAACAAUUACAUAGUAAUUAGAGGCAAUGCAAAACUCACUUCAAAUUCAAAUCAAAGCUUCAUGUUAGUAAUUCUUUCUUUCUUGUUCAUCUUUGCCCACAAAGCCAAUCAAGCAUGGUUGUGCACCUCCAUCACCAUGGUUUUUCCUGUUUUCUUGAGGAGGAGGUUGGGGUGGAGAAGAAUGUAGUACAUCAUAGGUUGAAGUGGUCCCUGCUACUGUACUGAUUACAGAACUUGGGAGGGUCAGCUGCACAUGUUAUGCACACUGGGUAAGGAUCAAUGUGGUCACUCCAGGCAAGAAGACUUCAUUGCGAUGGUGAGAUUGAUCUUAUGAUUCACUAUAAUUGCCUCAAUUGAACAAACUCAUGGUUUGUAGGGGAUAUUAAUUGCAGAGAAAGCAUGAACAAGCAAAUAUGAAAAUAUGAACUUGCGCAGUGUGUGUUAGAGCGGUUUGAAGUUGUGGUGUGGCUCAUUAAAAAUAGUUCACCUAAUAGAAUUUUUAACAAAAACACAAGUGUUUGAGUAUGUUGUUUGGAUGCAUACUUCACUUUUUGUAUUGAAAUUUUAAAUGUAUUUAUCUCAGUAUUGAGUUCAUAAUUAGAAUAAAAUAAUUAAAUUUUGUGUUUUAUUUUUAUUUUAAAAACACAAAAUUUGAACUUUUACUAAAAGUAUUUUUUUAACACCAAAAACUCUGUUACUAAAUUUAUAGGACAAUAUUCACCAAACAUUUCAAAAGCACUUUUAUCAUCUGAAAGUAUUGUUAUAACAAAAUAUAGCACUCCCAAAGGCCUCUUUUAGAAAUAUCUAUGUAUUAGUACUUUAAAUACAUUCAGUCGGUUUGAUCAAAACUCGACUCAAAUUUGGUUAACAUUAAAUUGAGCCGAGCUCGAACUGAUUUAGCGAGUUGCUCAGAGUUGAGCCGAGCAUCUCUAUACUUGGCUCGUUGGCUCAUCGCACCAGCUCAAGUUUAUAUAUUUUUAUUUUUUCAUUAUUUGUUAUGAAAUUAUAUUUAUGUCCUCAAUACUUUUAUUAUCCAUUAGAAUGAAAUAUUUAUUUUAUCUAUUUUUAAAAAUAUGAUAAUUAUUUUUUAUUUUAUUUUUGAAAUCAAUUAGACUCGAACUCGAAUCAAUUAGGCAAAAAUUGACUCAAGUCGGCUCAUUUGCAGUCUUUUACAUACUAUUAAGGUUUACAAAAUGAUAAACCUAUUUGUAGAAGAUUAUUUGAGAAGUUUUUAAUGGUAUUUAAUAUAACACUUUUGUAAUGGGAUAUAUGUAAGAUAAAAUGUGAUUAGAAAAGGACUUUAGAUAAUAGUAGGAAAAAAAUUUUUAAAAUAACCACAUCCAAACAAGCCUAAUUUUUUGCAUGCUUCUAGCAGGGACUAACUCCACUUUGCACCUCUAAACUUGUACCACAUUGUUACUUUACAUUUUAAACUUCAAUUUUGAAAAUUUUUCACCUUAAACUCUUAAUUUUGGAUACUUUGCAUCCUAAACUCUCAUAUUUGUUCCAUUUAAGUCCAAUCAAUAAUUACAUUCGCAAAAUUAACAAGACAAAGAAUGGUGAAAAAUAAUGAUAUGUAGUGUUUUAUUUUAACUGCGAUUCCUUAGCUUUUUUCGACUUUCUCACUUUCAAUACAUUAUUAUUAGUUUAUAUGGUCUCACUCACUAAAAUUAUUAAUGCCAAUGUAUUGUUUUUUUUUCACUACGAUACUUUGACAUUUUUUGACCACUUUCGGCACAUUUUUAUUGUUUUGUUAGAUCUUCUAUGCUAUUAAUUUUGCUAAAAUCGCCAUUGAUUAGAUUUAAAUAAGACAAAUUUAAGAGUUUAGAGUGCAAAACGUCCAAGAUUGAGAGUUUAGGGCGUAAAGCGUUCAAAAUUGAAGUUUAGAGUACAAAGUGAAAGAAAAAAUGAUACAAGUUCAAGGGUGCAAAAUGAAAUUAAUCCUUCCCGCAUUGUGUUACAACGUGCAAAUAAACAAAUUAACCUACACCCUCUAAGCCUAUCAUUCAUGCAUGCAUCCAGAUUUAAAAUAUUUGGUAACAAUUGGUUUCUAUUAUAUCCUUCAUUUUUUUCAUUUUAUGAAAUUGAAUCCAUAUUCUACUCGUGUAUGUUGAACAUGGGUGGUCAGGCCCCAAUCUCUUACAGAUUAGGAUGAAUUUCUCUGUUUCUAUCACAUUCCAGAUCAUUGAAACAUCUUAUGGAGAAGGGGAUUCGAAGUAACAGUAAAUAUAUCAGAACAAAGAAUAAAGUUUCUAUAAUUUUGAGGGUGUUUUGAUCAAGAAACACAAAACAAGAAAUAAAGUGCCAAUUUAACAAGUUAUGGGGGGCAAAGUUCAAACCCCCAAAAAAUUCACGGGCGCAAUUAAUUCUAAUAAGAAAGGGAUAACUGAACACGAAGUUAAGAAAGAGCAAAAACCAACUGAUGAGCAUAUCAGACCAGAAAACUGCAAAUUUUAAUUUGUAUAAUUUCCUCUACUACACAUCAACUCAUCAGUUGUCUAAAAAGUUCUACAAAAGUUACACUGUAGAAGAUGCAGAAAGCAAUUUUUCACAUACUUCUUCCUGUUUCUGCUCUAAAAACAAAAGAAACAGAUCUUCGUCUAUCUCAGAAGACUAUAGCUGUAAAAAUAAGCUCCCUAGCUUAUAUCUCUCAGGUCAGUUGUCACUAUGUAAAUUGUCCUUGGCAUUUCACUAAAUCAAAGCCAUUCUUUCUAGUCUAUUCCUCAAGGCUACUAACUACAACUAAACAAUGCCAAGGAUGAAAGAAUUCUACCCUUAAAAACAGGACAAACCAAUAAAAUGAUUCGUCAGGCUUCAAUAGUUAGUAAACUGUCAUCUAAUUAUUUUCAUCUUCCACUCUUCUGUAGAAAAGAACAUAAGCAGCUGAAGAUUUAAUCUUGUCCUCGUUGAUAGGAAUACAUGGCUGUCAUCAAAGUCAAACCACCGACCGCCACCAUGCUACAUGAGAAUAAUGAUGUUAGUAUUAUUGAGUUGCCGAGCGAAGAAAAGGCAGAGUAAAUACUAAAUAUAGUAUCCCAGGCACCAUCAUUGAGAGCACAUAUUUUAGCUCUAUACAUUCCAAAGUUGUACCAAUCAGAAAACUCUCUUUUUAAAUUCUCCAAACUUCACUUGGAACAACAAAGAGAAAAUGGAAAAACAAGAAAACCCAAAGAGAGCACACCGAACUAAAAGUUAUGUCAAAGUGAAGAGCCACUUACAUGGACAAAUGCAGUGUAAUGACCGCCUCCCAUGCUUCCAUAGUGAUUACUAAUAGCAUACAGCACGUAGCUUACAAGAUUCCCCACUCUUGUAAGCGAUAUAAGCAGACAAAUCAAGAUGUGACAGGGAAGUCAACAUAUGUCUCCAAUUUGUUUUUAAGAAACCGGCUGUAUGAGAAUCUUUUUAAAUGUAUGACUAGAACCUCAGGAAGUCGCCAAAGAUCUAACUUCUUGCUGGCUUGGCAAUGCUUCUUGCAGACAGGGCAUACCUGAUUCCGUGAAUAAUGUGCAGCACGUAAGAUACUGUAGUAUGGAUAAUUUUUGCAAGAAAAAGGAGGAGUUUAUGACAUAGGCUGAAGAUAAAGAAGAAUAAGACCUAUUGCAUGAAGAAAGGUGAAAUCUGAUAACAAGCAAUAUGUCAAUUGUUUAUCCAAACAAAUGCAUCUAAAUUGACUGCAUUAAAAGGUAAAGGUAAGAAAGGAAACAAGGGGGAAAUGUUUAACAUGCAGGCAAGUAAAGUGCUUGUACCUUUGGAAAAAUGGCUGGUUACAGGGGAUUAACAAGCCAAGUCAAAAAAUAAGGAACAAAGACUUCAGAAGCACCACAAAUAGUGGAGGAUUUAUAAAUGAGAAAAUGACUUCUUUGAACGAGAACAGCUAUUUGGCUUUUGAAGUACAGUACAACCAGGGGGAGGGAUGGGUUGGGUGGUCGAAGGGAGUUAAUUGAGAGUUCUUGAGUUCAAGCCGUCCCAAUUACAAAAAAAUAAAGUAUAAUUACAAUCCAAAAUAGUUUGUCAUUGUAAUUGUGUUCCACUUUAAUUGAUCAUGGCUUCCUAAAAAUUGAUAUGUCCACUGUGGUAAGAAAUCACACACCUCUUGUGUGUUACGCUUAGACAAAGCAUUGACACAAAAAUUAAUUACCAAUGGCCAUGCAAGAUGAUAACAAGCACGGAAAAAAUGUUUAGAAGAUGAUGCUUAGCACACUAACCACAUAUCUUCAGGUCCCAGAGGCUCCUCCUUCAGGAAUGCUUCAAGGCAUUUGUACAAAGAAACAGAUUCCUGCGGUCUCUUCAUUAAGUACCCUGACUUGAAAACUUCAGGUAAUGAGCAAUUCAGUUGUUGGCUGUACUCUUCAACCAUCUUAUCUGCCCAAUGUACAAUUACACUUAACAGUCCAGUCAUAGCCUUAGCAUUCACCGGCUCAUCCAUUGCUAUUUGGGGACCUCUGACAUUUCCCUGCUCAUCUGCUAAGUAAAACUCAAAAUCACAGUCAAACUGUGCUUCACCAUCUAGUAGAUCACCAUUCUGAGUACAUGUAUUUGAAUCAGGACUAAGUGCAUCCUCAAUUUCCUUAAUUUCUUCACUUUCAGUAUUUGUUGUCUCAUUGCAAUGUUAACAGAAUUUUCUUUUGGUAUUGAGAAAGGAAGCAGUAAUUUCAUAUAAAGAUUCCUAACGUCAGAUCCAUUAGUAACUUUACUUCUUGCUACCAAAGGAAUUCCAAAUGCCUUCCAAACCAUUGUUGGCUUCCCAUAGACAUAUUGCCUGACAAAAUAAUAACUUUUACAAAGUUGGAAUAGAGCACAAAAACAAGAAAGCAGAGAUAAAGAAGUUAUGUAGAUACAAUUUUCAAUUAAUCCUACAUAGAAACUCAUGGCUUAUGGUUCCCAGAGAAACUUCAAUUGCAAUGGUCACUAGUUGUCAAGGCACACUCUAUCUGUGUGCAUAGAAUAAAAAUUAUAUUUAUUUCUAAACAGUAUAUCAUAGAAAUUGAUUUUAAGCUUCAAAAAAAGAAUUUCUAGAGAAUUUUACCAAUAGAAAAUAUACAUGAAUAUUUUUUGUUAAAAACCUAAAAUUAUGGGUAGUUACUAACAUAAUUUAAAAUGCCUAAUAAAACAAAGAUAUUUUUCUUUGAUAUGGUUGAACCAUUUAACCCCUAAUGAAAGGAUAAAAUGGUAGUUCAAAAAAGAUUAAAACAAGUAAACUGCAAUGCAUAAACCUCCUCAGGCUUUAUAUAUAGUAUAGAUAUAGAUAUCUCUAACUACUAAAAGUCUGUGCUCAGGAUCAGAUAACCUUUCUUAAAAGUGAUAGAAAAAGAUAAAACAAAAUGCCAAGUUAUACUCUGGUGCAUAGUCCAACUGCAGAACAUUCACAUAACUCUGCAUGAAUCGUCCACUCAAAUGCAACAAUACAAAAAAUUUUAUUCAAAUUCAGAAGCAACAUAACUUACUCUUCCAUCUGCUGGUGAGUAAAAACAACUAAUGGUGCUUCAUCAAUUUCUUUUGUCAUUUGAUAAGCAAUCAGUCGAUCCUCAUCUCUGAUUAACGAUAGUGAAUUAGCUGACUCCUCUAGAAAACGUAUGAUGCGAUUGUUGAAUAUCUGUACAUAACUAAAUUAUCAUUAGGAGAUCAGAUGAAAGAAGAGCAUUAACUGGAUACGAAUUAUCAAAUAGGAGAAAUAUUAAUCUCAAAGAAUUUUGCAGAACUAUACCUCAGCCACCAAUAGGCUUUCAUGAGCACCUAAAGAACAUGCAUUGCUCAAUGCCUGAAUAAGAUCCUCAAGUUUUCCAGUUUUGGGAACAGUGAUAGUAUAUGUGGUUGGCUUUGGACUAUCAUCUGUUCUCAUAACUGUUAUUGUCAUUGUCCGCAUUGAUGUUGAUGGCAGAGGCAGUGACAAGUACAUGAAUGGGUCAAAUGUAACAGAGACCUUUCUGCAAAUAGGACACACUAAAGUGGACCUGUACUGACCCUGCAAUGUCAUAAUUCAUAAGCUUUAAUCAACAAAGCUUAAGAAUUUCACAGCCAAUACAAGCAAUGUACAAUAGCCUAUGAAGAUUUUCACUUGUUUUAAGUCCAAAAGAGUACCAAAAGUCCAGGUAGAUACAAGAAUAUUCAAUACCAUCCUUGAAAUGAAAGAAAAAUUGAGGAGCAGCAACAGAGAUUAGAUAUAUGUGUCCAUAAAGGAUCACAAUUGAUUGAAGCAAACAGAAUUUCUAAACAUAAAUUUGUACAUUCCACCACCUUGACAAAGUUAUUCUCAAAUGACCUCCUCCGAAUGUUUAGAACAUAAUACUUUUAGCAUCCUAAGUCUGAGAUAUCAUCAUAAUUAGGUUCACCGACCACUUUAAACUCCUCCAAAAGAGAAACACCAGUUCUGACCAAUGCCCGAAUAGUAUGAACUACUGAACUGAGACAGCUCAUACUAGCCUUAUUUUAUGUUGGCUUCAUGACAGAUGAAGAGUAGACAACUAACUAUAACAAAGAUUAAAAGACCACAAUAAGCCAGUACCAAACACAAGGUAGCAUAUCAUACAAAAAAUGAGGCAGAGGAACCCUAUGUGAAAAAUACUAACUUGGCAGACAUCAACAAUGAUAGAGUCAUUGCGAGCCAAAUGAUUCCUCAGUAUUCAUCAGCAACUUCUUCAUCAGGCCUGUCAUCUCCAUCUUUAACCUCAGCAUAUGGUUUGCACUUCACUCGAUUCAAAUCUUCAUGAAGUCCAUCCAAAAGAAAUGAAAGGAGUUCCUGUAGUCAAUAAGAAGAGGUUUCCUCAAGAAAGAUCUUGACACAAUAAAUCUAAACGAUGCCCUGUCUAUCACAUGUAUCUUGUUACCAAAUAUGUCGAGAGAGAGAGAGAGAGGAAAAGGGAAGAAGCGAGAGAACAUUAACAAGAGAUGAAGAUAAAAGUGAAAGAAAAAUAAGUAUACAAACUUGGGAGUCAUGCUGAUUAAAACCACUGAAUUGAGGAGCAAAAUGGCAAGUUUUGAUUUGAAUAUUCUCGGUGCCACUGGAGCUGCCCCAGGGGCCCACAAUUUCUUCAAUAAAUCUCCAAAUGCAGAGGCAAUCUCACCCUGCCAAUAAAAACAUUCUAUAAAAUUGAGUUCGUGCUCGUAGUAGUUGACAAGCAAGGCCAAUACGUAAUGGAAAAUCCAGCAUGAAAGAAAAUGCCAACUAGGGGGAAAAAAAAGGAAUUGCAAGAAGGUUAAUGAUGCUUGAGGCUCGCAUCUUUUGAGGCCCAUGAAGGGCUAGGUGCACAUAGCCUUGCCUCUUCAAGCAGAGAGGCUGUUCUGUGUAUUAAAACUAUGACCUUCCAGCCAAAGUAUGACAAUAUCAUAAUUGACACCAAUGCUCAAAAAAGCAAAGUUUACUGAUGCAUGAGAAAUAAGUGAAAUGUACAAAGUUAGUGAUGGCAUGAGAAAGUCAAGAACAAAAACAUACAUUCAUGCCCAAUGGGUUAUCGUGAUUUAUUUCACUCCUGAAAUCUCCAAGGAAGUAAUCAACCAUCUUUGGAGUGUGAGCUAGGCACUGGAUGGCACUAUUCAUGAAACAUGUAUUGCCUAGGUUUUGCAACCCUGUUAAGCCUAAAGUACCAACUUCACAUGAGCUGCCAACAGACAUAUUAGAGUUGCUCUGCAAGUGAUUAGACGACAAAUUUCCUGUACAACCAUUCAUCAUAAGUGAACCACCAUUAGAAUGUUGCAUUGUCAUAUCAUCUCGUUUCACUCCUCGAUUUCUAACAGGAUCAGAUAACCCAUAAACUGCAACUCCAGUAGCAUCUGUACAGGAAAAUUAGAUGAGGAAAUGUAAGAAAACCACAGUCAAACAGAGAGAGAGAGAGAGAGAGCACUAAGUAAUAGUAAUUUAGAAAUAUAACUACAUAAAAAACUGUAUCAUUAAAACCAACUAAAAGUUGAGAAACGGUGAUCAACGAGCAAGUACCAAUGCCUAAACUAGAGCUCAACAACCUAUGACAGUUCUCCUAACAUAUAAAAUACGUUGAUUAGAUCCACCAACCAUAAUAAAUUGCAAUCACAAAAUAGGCAAAAAAAAAGUAACUACAAGAAAGUAACUUUUAGUAAUUGAGGAGAUUCAGUACAUAGGAUACUAGGCUGAUCCUUUCUCAAGUUAAAAGAAGUAAUUCAGAUGACCAAGCCUUAAGUUGCUAGAGUCAGUUCUUCCUUAUAUUUUCCAUUUAUGAAUUUAAUCCUUCCACAGAUUACUCCAAAAAAAAUGCAUAUCACUACAUUCACUAACACUUGAAACUUUCCUCAGAUCCAUUGUGAUCCAGAAAAAAGAGAAGUGUGUCGGCUUACAAGUAUAUAGCUAAUACAAUAUUAGGUAUCUUUCCUCAGUCUAUGGUAUAUACGGUAACUUUAUAAACAAAAAAAUCACCAUGCAACCCCAAAUCACCACCGUAUGUGCAACAUUAUAAUGCCCAUUACUUAUACGAAAAAAUUAACUUGAACUUCUGUUCAGAUGACUAGGAUGACCAAAUAACCUGAUGCAGUGAUACGCAGCAAAAGUUCGUAGACAGGAGUAACUUUCUCCAUAUCCCUUGUAAGAUAGCGCAAAUUAGAACAAGUUCCUUUUAUUCACUUUCUAUCAGUGACUUAAAGGAUAUCCCCUUUUCCAUUCUUUAGGAUUCACAGAUCAGUUCCUAAAACGUAACUAACAUGUCCCUCAAAAUUUGCAUAUUAGACAAACCUCAUUAAUACUCUGAAAUAAAAGAACUUGUAAACGACACCAAACAAGGAAAAAUAUGCCUUCUAACGACAUCCAUCUCAAUUGAAAAAAAAAAAAGCACUGGAAAAGAAAUUCCAGGCUUAUCUGCUUGCAUCAGUUAAGCUUUCAUAAGAAACAGCACAUUAACACAGCAUGUCUUCAGCGUGGCAGUGGCAUCAGUAAUGCAGAGAAUAAGAAAAAUGCUUAAAAAGUGAAUACAACAAAGAUGUCUGCAAAGGAUGCUUACUGAGAAUAUUGCUAUUCAACUCAUUAUUACUGCUUAUUGAGAGAAGGAUUGCUACCAAAAAACUAAAAUGCAAAGCUUAGAUUUCCUGGUGCUUAAUAUUUUAGGCAACUUAAUAGCUAGACAAUGCCAUCCCCUCUGUUCUCUGCUGCGAGUUGCUAUAGCUUAAGCUAAAAGCUCUUUUGAGCUGCUAAGAUCUGAUUUUGACUUCUGCUUUUAGCUUUGUAUAAGAUGAAUAAGUUGAUUACAAGAAUUAGACUCAAAGUACUUUGAAAACACUCUGGCCUUUUGAACUUUUGAAACAACCCUUGGAAUCUUUGAGAAGCUUUUCAAAAAUCACUUUCUUGAAGCAGCUUCAAAAACAGAAGCAAAGGAGAAAAGACCCAAUUAUGAGGUUCAUUAGUCAAAACAGUAGUAUAACUGAGUCAGGUUUGGAAUUUCCUAGUUUGGGUGGUAUGAAAAUGCAAAGAAGUGUAAACAAGGCCAUAAAAUAUCCAGGAGUUACGUACAUCUUGCUCUGACUGUCGCUGACUGUCCUUUAGCAUCUUAAGCUUCUCGCUCAAGAAAAAAAUAAGCAUCUCGCCAGAAAAGUCCCAAAUCCUUAACUGCACAAAGAAGACAUGUCAAAUCCCACAAGAAGCAACUACAUUCAGCAUAAAACUAAAUUCCACCAUAAUGCUCACUAGCUCAGUCUCAACAGAGAAAAUCUUGCAGGCCCUCCUAAAGCACUCCAAAGUAUUUUCCUGAAAGCAAAAUAAGAAAGUAGAAUAAAACAUAUGAAAUUUAGAACAAUUACAUUUAAAUAAGAAAAAUCUUAAAAUAAAUGGAACUAGAAAACUUUAUAAAAGGAUUCUCUCUCUAUCUCUCUCCCCUGACACAUGCAGACCACAGAUAUACAUCAUCUCUAAACCUUAUGCAGAUAAGACAGACCACUGUUCAUUACCCCAUAACAAACAUCUCAUUCAAAACUGAAGCUCUAGCUUAUCUCCACAACUACAGUGCAAUGACAAGCUAAUAGCUGGGAACAAAUAUGCAUACUAGCGAGCCAAGUUUUAAAAUUUUCAUAAAAAUGUUGAGGAACGACAUAUAAUUUUGUUAACAAAAACUUUUCAGUUUCAUAAGGGAAAAUAAAACAGUUUCUUAAAUCUUGGUUGGCUUCAUAGGAAGUUCUCAAAAGACAAAACAAACCUUCAUUGCAGUCUCAGUUUAAGAAAUUUCAAGGUAUCAUAAGUGGAGAUAAGUGCUCUCUGCUACAAUUUCUAUUUUUCCCAUCCUCUCCUCUCUUUCUUUUAUAUAUGGUCUCAUAACAGGGGUCCAAACCCACUUUGCUAUUCACUCUUCUUCAGUCUCUCCAUAAUUCCAAACUAUUUAACAAUUCAGACAUCUCUUUGCAGAGCCUAGUCAACCUUGUUUGAAACUUCUAAGAUGAUCCAACACAGUAGAAAGAAGGUCAACUAUAUCUGGAUUCAAGUGUCAUCAGAAGAAGAAGUUCAAAGAAAAGAAUAAUCUGUUAAACUUUAGAAACCACUUAGUACUUUCUUAUCUUAAUUUAAUUUACAACCUAUAUCUGCUGUCAUGAUUAUACAUGCAAAUGUUUCUACAUUCAUCCACAAGACCAAACUGUAAAUCAAGGACCAUCACAAGAAUAUAGCAAUGACCUUUUGUUUAGUAAAGAAUUUCCUUCACUAAAUACACAUUCUGGCAUGCCUUGUUUAUUAGUCUAUGAAACACAGAUAGGGAUAAAAACUCAUGCACAAGACUGUGGCAAUAAGUCACUGUGACUUAGUCUUGCAUGGAAAUCCAAGCACAUUAAACACUAAAGAAAGCACUGUUCUUUUAAUUUCUCAAAGAUUACUUGUAACUGAUAAUGUAAGACUGUUUUGAAAAUACACGCAAGCCUUCAAUCCCAGCUCAAUUCUCUAAGAAAUGCAGAGAGAGAGAGAGAGAGGGGAGGGGGGGGGACAAGCAGCCAACAGCCAACCCUGAAACCACCCUUGUGAUAGCAAUUAAGUGCCAGCAGACCACUAACAGUCAAUGUGGCAACUGGUUAUCAUUAUUUAACCUACAAUUCUACAUUAACUGUUGCCCAUAUUUACUAUCAUUCAUUAAGCAUUAAGCAUAAAUUAAGCAGUUUGAACCACCAAACAAGACAUGAAUGACAACUAACAUUUCAGGUGGUAGCAUAACAACAAUGUAAUCGAGAACAAUUUCUUUUUGCACAUCAAUGAAGAGAAUGUACCAGCUAGGAAAUUAGACAACCUACAACAUGCUUAGCUUUCUUAUAUGGUAAAACUUUCAACUCUAACUGACCAACUCUCCAACCGUACAUUAUCAUGAGACGCAAUAUUUUAUGACUCAAUUUGAUAUGUGAACAAAAAUACAUUGCAUACACCAUCAAGCCCAUUUGCUUUAUUGAGGGAAAACCAAAGAUUCCCCAAAUCUCUAGUUUUAUUAAAACUUUUACCAGUGCAACAACUAGUAAAACACAAAGCACAAGCUGGCCACUCAUGGUUGAAUAACAAAGACAAAAUAUAGCACCAUGGAUGUGGUAAACUCUUCAAAUCCACAAGUCACUGAACAACAUCCAUAAUAUGAAACUAGCAAAUCAGCUACUAACCUUUUUACUUAUCUUGACGCCAAAUGAGUCAGCCUCACGCAGAACAACUAGCCUGAGCUGUAAAGGAUACACAUCUGACAUAUCUUCUUCAGCAGAACUUUUGCCGUCCUUUGAUGCAAUUUUAGAGUCACUGUGCCUGGAUUGAGACAAAACAAUCAACACAUAGAGACUGAAAACUGCAUGGUAUUCAAACAUGUACAAAAUUGAGAACCAACACAAAUAUCUGGUAAGCACAAUCUCAAGGUAAAUGCUUAUUCUUUAAAUAAAAGAUUCUCAUUCACAGCGCAUAAGGAAUACCACACGAACUAAAUUUGACAUAUUACAUUCAAAAGGCCAUGAAAACAAAGAUGGAACUCAACAAAAGUUUUAAGAAUUAAGUAGUAAGAGUAACCAAACUUCAUUACAAGUGGGAUCUGUCAUAUAAUCUAAGUGUCCCAAAAAAGUAAGGCAGAAGAGGAUAAGUAAAGCUAGUCAGAACAUUAUGAUUAACGCAGUUGAUGCAUGACAUGAAGCAAAGUUUCAGCUUGGCAACAUCAGAUAUAUCCCUCAAGCAGUAUGCCAAAAUCUAAGAAACGGUUCAAUGGCCACAGGCAUGUUAAAGAACUCGAGUAAGCAGAAUCAUCCAUCACUCUCUUAGCUCACCACUAACAUAGAAUGAUGUAAACAAUGGUGGGCUCAGCCAACAAUUAACGAUGUUAUAUUUGCUUUCGUUUCACAAGUGUAUGCCAAGGUAUGCAAACUGUGCCUCAGCCCCCAACAUGUUGGAAAACAAUUGGAGAGUUAAAAGAACAUAAAGUAAGACUAACAUAGAAACAAUACCAACCAUUUGAGUGCCUGAAGCCACAUUUCACUGGAGACCAAAGCAUAAUCACGACCUGAUACCCCAACUUCAUCAUUCCCACGAUUAUGUGACAAUGAAUGAUCCUCUUUUCUCAGGUUAAAUGAAAGAUCAGAACUGAAAAAAUUGUUGAAUAGCUUCAUUGGCCCUCCAUAUGAUGGCAUAGGCGAUGCAGUGUACAAGAUUCCCUUCUUUUCAUUCGACAAUGAAGAGUCACGCGUUCCUUCCACACCUAUAACAUGCAACCACACUCAAUCACUUAAACACAGAACCAGAACAUGAAAGCAUUACUACCACUAACUACCUAACAAUAUAGACACACAUAUAGAGCAGUUCAACCCCAAAAUAGUACUUUAAUACCUCAUUGGUUCUAGGGUUUGCAAACUCAGUCAAUCACUCACCACUGAUUAGGAUUUACAAACUAAGCCAAUUACUCACCAUCUACAGUCACAAUUCUUUUUUCCUUUCCCUUUCCUGAUGGGAAGAAACACCCUAACCUAACAAAUGCUAAACUAACCAGCCACAAAUAAACAGACAAACAAAAAAAUCAAAAAAGUGGUAAAAGAAAUUUUUGUGCUUUGCUUGUUGAUUUGCUGCCAGCAUCUGCCCCACAUUCUAUUAUAGAUAACAAAAUGUUUGAAUGCGUAAAGAGCACGAAACCUCCCACAUUACCUUUAAUAAUCCAAAACUCCAAUCAAUCAACAACAUUAAAAAAAUUUCAAAACCAAAUCAAGUCAAAUACAGCAGAAAGUAAAGCACCCUUUUUCUGAUUUAGUAUUAGAAUUCAACACGCCCAAAGUUCCUGAUCAAAUCUCCCAAGUUGCUAGGUUUGAUUUUUUUCCAUUUCCUAGGAUAAACCUCUCAUUCUUCACCUCAAUUCCACCAAGACUACAUUGCCAAUCAAGCAUUAAACAGAAACCCACGUCACAUAAACGUUUCUCACCUAUUUUCUAUAAAAGGUUCCUCUCAAACAACAAAAAUCAAACAAGAGACUCAAGAAUUGAUCCAAAGGAUGGGACAUCUAAUUAAAAUAGAGCAGUGGGUGAGCGUGCGAAAUACCUGAGGGGGACUAAAUAAACUCGCUGGUCACCAUGUCCAGAAAUGGAUUGUUCUUCUAGCUGUUCAUGCGGCUCUUGAUUUUGCUGCUGUUGUUGAGAAUGCGAAGAACAAUCCAAGGAUUCAUCGGAGCUAUUAAUGAUACUACUACUACUCUCCAUUCUGCUUUCUGGUUAAAGAAAGAGGAAAAAAAUCCAAUGCGUCUAUCUGGUAUGUAAUCAAUCAAUGUAUGGAUUGAUGAAAGAGAGAGCAAAACACGGGGUCAGAAAUGGCGGAUGGGAUUUGCAGGCAAAAUGGCCAUCGUUCUUGUUUUUUUCCCCCUUCACUUCAGACGAAUAGACAAAAAGAGAGAGAAGGGCGGAUUUGCAGAGAAACAAGUGGAGCUUUUUUCUGUGAAGAGGACUCAAAAGGAUGGUAGCAGUAAUUAGUAGUAAUUAGUAAAAGCAUAAAAAUAUUAGUGACUAUAGACGGCAUAGUAAUGCAACUAACUCAGCAGUAUUUCCUCCCUAUAAUCAUGUUUAUCACUAAUAGGCUUUAUAUAUAGUGCCAAAUUCGAGAGUAUCAAAAAUUAAUCAGCACUUAUUUACGCAUCACGUGAACAACUCACCGAGGAUUGUGCUCUUAGAAAGUACUAAUUUUGCACAUUUUGAUACUCAGUGUCAAGAACACACAAAGUAUUGUUUGCCUGGCAGGCAACCUUAGGUGAAGAGAAAUACCCAACAAUUGCAAGGUGUAAUCAUAUGAGACCAUUCAUAACUCUAGGAGUUUUCCAUUUUGAAAGGUUUGCAUGGUGUAGAUGACAAAUGGAGGAAAAGAAUUACUUCAUUAAUACUUUAUUACUCCAUGGUGUAGAUGAAAAGAAUAGGACUGGUAAGAAAAAGAAUUACUUCAUUAAUACUAUGAAGAAAGAAAACCUAUAUUCAGGAUAUGGAAAGGAAUUUCAGAGUUCAUUCUACUACAUUUUUUGAUUGGUUCCACCCGAUGAAAAUUAUAUGCAAUUUAGAGGAUUUUUGAUAAAUUUUAACUUUUUAUUGUUGAAUAUUACAUCCCUAUCUACGCAACGGAUCUUUUGUCUCAUACUCUGUGCCGCUCUCUGUCCCAUUUUUUAUUAUAUUGCUAUUUCUCCUACAUAAACAUCACGUUUUAGUUCUUUUUUGUUUUUUCAAGAUCCAAUAACUAUUAAUUGAGUAAUACACAAACUUUAACAAACUCAAAAAACUAAAAUGCAUAAAAAAUGAGAUUUUUUAUGAAUUUUCUGCUGUAUUUUUUAAUUUUCUAUUAUAUAUUGCUUUUUUUAAGCUACUGUAUUUAUAUUUUACUCAAUUAAUAGUUAUUGGAUCUUAAGAAAAUAAAAAAAAACUAAAACGUGAUAUUUACGUAGGAGAAAUAACAUAUAAUAAAAAGUGUGACAAAGAGUGGCACAGAAUAUGGGACAGAAGAUUCGUUGCGCCCUACUAAGUAUUAACGCGUAUAGAUAGGGGCAUAAGAUAAAAACACCUCUUUUUUUAUUUAUUCAUUUUGAGCCUAGUAUCCAAAAAUGGGGAUAGGCACAAGGUAAGUUACAGCUCUUUUGAGAAAGAAAAAUAUGCUUUCUAAUCAAGGAAAUGAAUCAUUAACCAGGAGGUGAAAUACAGCUUUUUGGAGAAAGAAAAAAAAAAUACUUUCUAAUCAAGGAAUUGAAUCAUUAGUAGACAAUUGAAAGCGAAGUUAUCCAUCUAUAUGAUUGUGUAAAUUACUCAACUGUAGACUAGAAAACUUCCCAACUAGGUUUGGCAUCUCAUCUUAUUAUGGAAUAAAAUCUACCUUAGUCCUUCGUAGUGUAUAUUAUAUAUUAUACGUAUGUCUCUUUACGUAUGUGUGUGCAUAUAUAUACACACAAAUAAUUUUUGUGUAUUUUAUAUAUUUUUCUUAUUACUUGUAUUUAACAUUUUCUUAUCAGAAUGAAAUCUAUCUUUCUUGUCUAUAGUGUGUAUUAUACAUAAGUCUAUUUAUGUGUUCCUAUAUCGCACAUCCACACAUCUCAUCUUGUUAUAGAAUAAAAUCUACCUGACUCCUUUGUAAUGUAUAUUACACAGACGUCUAUUUAUGUGUGUGUGUAUAUAUAUACACACAUCCACACAUAAACAAUGUCUAUGUAUUUUACAUGGCGUAUUUGGUUGAAAAACGUAUCUUUCUUAUCAAUUGUAUUUAACUUUUUCUGUAGUGUAUAACAGCUUUUUACUCUUUCAAGUGGGAAAAUAAAACGGUCUGAAAAAAGCAUGCAACAUUUUAAGGGUAAUUCAGUGCUAGGGUUGUGUCGAUAUAAUACUCCAAUUUUUAAAAUAAAAUUAUUUUAUCCAUUUUAAAACUACUUUUUUUAUCCAUUAUUUUUUUCUCUCUUACUUUUUAUGGAAAUACUGGAUGCUAGCUAGAGCAAGCAAGAAGCUAGUAAAGGAUGUCAUUCAUGUUUUAUAAUGCUCUGCUGCCCCAAUAAUGUGAGAGUGCAGGACAAUAAAAAAAAUUUGUUUAGUGCAAAUAUAUAUAUAUAUAUAUAUAUAUAUUUAUUUAUUUAUUUAUUUAUGAAGUCCCAGAACAAUCUAAAUAUGGAUCCUCAAUAUCCUCAUUGCGCUAUUAAUCUAUUUAUGUUACUUUGACCUUACAUUUUUUCUUCCUUUUUGUUUCCAAGAGAGGAACAUCACAUAAUAAGUUGAAUUUUAUUUAAUGUUAUUGUCUAUGCAAACAUUCAAAAACAUUACUUGAUCCUGCACCAUGAUGAUGCUUUUCCAUUUUGGAGAGCAUAACCAAUUAAAAAGGACUUUUAGUGAGUUGAAUUGUUUAAUCGUUAUAUAAUCAAUAUUAUAAUCAAGAUUUGCAGUUCCAUUUUUUCUCUUUUUGUUUUUGGCUGAAAUUUUGGCAAGUUUUCUUGAUUUGGCUGUAUCAAAGUAUAACCUCAAUCCUAAUUAGGAAGCAUCAUAUUCAUAAACAUUACUCACAUUAGUACUUAUAUUCUGGUUAGGAAACUCCAUCAAAGAAUAUGUCAAAUACUAGCAUUUUAUAGAGCAAGAGUGGUUAGUGUAUUGGGAAAUGGUCUCACAAGCAUCAAAAAUUAACAUUUGGCCUUGAUACAAAUAGUUAGAAACCACACAAUUAGAGAAAUAGAUGGCUAAAUGAUAAGGCCGCAUCAGCUUUGCACUCUCUUCUCUAUGUUGGGAAAUGGUCUCACAAGCAUGAAAAAUUAACACUUGGCCUUGAUACAAAUGGC